rnacentral:rRNA from 1 species
GUGAACGCUGGCGGUAGGCCUAACACAUGCCAGUCGAACGGCAGCACAGUAAGAGCUUGCUCUUACGGGUAGCGAGUGGCGGACGGGUGAGGAAUACAUCGGAAUCUACUUUUUCGUGGGGGAUCACGUAGGGAAACUUACGCUAAUACCGCAUACGACCUACGGGUGAAAGCCGGGGAUCUUCGGACCUUGCGCGAUUGCAUGAGCCGAUGUCGGAUUAGCUAGUUGGCGGGGUAAAGGCCCACCAAGGCGACGAUCCGUAGCUGGUCUGAGAGGAUGAUCAGCCACACUGGAACUGAGACACGGUCCAGACUCCUACGGGAGGCAGCAGUGGGGAAUAUUGGACAAUGGGCGCAAGCCUGAUCCAGCCAUACCGCGUGGGUGAAGAAGGCCUUCGGGUUGUAAAGCCCUUUUGUUGGGAAAGAAAAGCAGCAGGUUAAUACCCCGCUGUUCUGACGGUACCCAAAGAAUAAGCACCGGCUAACUUCGUG